rnacentral:rRNA from 1 species
AUCAACGCUGGCGGCGUGCCUCAGACAUGCAAGUCGAACGAUUAAAGCUCUCUUCGGAGAGUGUAUAGAGUGGCGCACGGGUGAGUAACACGUAAGUAAUCUACCUUUGAGUGGGGAAUAACCCGGGGAAACCCGAGCUAAUACCGCAUAAUGCAGCGGCACCGCAAGGUGACAGUUGUUAAAGGAGCAAUCCGCUUAAAGAGGAGCUUGCGGCAGAUUAGCUAGUUGGAAGGUAAUGGCUUACCAAGGCUUCGAUCUGUAUCCGGCCUGAGAGGGCGGUCGGACACACUGACACUGAAUAACGGGUCAGACUCCUACGGGAGGCAGCAGUCGGGAAUUUUGGGCAAUGGGCGAAAGCCUGACCCAGCAACGCCGCGUGAAGGAUGAAGUAUUUCGGUAUGUAAACUUCGAAAGAAUGGGAAGAAUCAAUGACGGUACCAUUUAUAAGGUCCGGCUAACUACGUGCCAGCCGCCGCGGUAAU